AUACGGAAGGUCCGGGCGUUAUCCGGAUUUAUUGGGUUUAAAGGGAGCGCAGACGGAGAUGCAAGCGUGACGUCAAAUUUCGGGGCUCAACCCCGUCUCGCGUCGCGAACUGCGUCCCUUGGUUGCGGGAAGGGGAGGCGGAACUCGGGGUGUAGCGGUGAAAUGCAUAGAUAUCACGAAGAACUCCGAUCGCGAAGGCAGCCUUCCGGCCCGUCAACGACGCUCAUGCUCGAAGGUGCGGGUAUCAAACAGGAUUAGAUACCCUGGUAGUCCGCACAGUAAACGAUGGACACCCGCGGUUUGGCCUAUAUGGCUGAGCCGCCAAGCGAAAGCGUUAAGUGUCCCACCUGGGGAGUACGCCGGCAACGGUGAGACUCAAAUGAAUUGACGGGG
rnacentral:rRNA from 1 species